CGCGUGCGUUGGGGCCUCAGCCUUUAUCUCCACUCUGCGGAGAUUCACGCCUGGAAAACGCUCUUCUGAGAGGAUCUGUGGAGGUCAACCCAGGAGAGAGAAGACAGGACUGAAGCACUGAAAGGGUCCUGCCGUUAAGGGCGCAGGAUUGUAUAGAAUAUAUAAUAGCAGUAGCAGCUCUGUUUACGGAGCAUUAACCUUACGUGGAGUUAUUUCCUGCAUUUCCUCCUUUCGUCUUUACAAGAGAUUGGGUCUCUCCACAUUGCCCCGGCUGCUCUCCAACCCCUGAGUUCAAGUGAUUCACCUCCCUUGGCCUCCCAAAGUACUGGGAUUACAGGCGUGAGCCACCGUGCCUGGCUGAGAAGAUGGAUUUAAGACAUAUUUUGGAGCGGAAAGUGACCAGAAGAGGUGUGCAGUUUCCAGGCCUGGCCCAUACAGACCUCCAACAGGUGCUCCCCUGUGCUGUUACUCCUUCUGCCAACUGGAAGCAGAUGGUGACCAGGCUCUGGAGAAGGCAAGGCCUGAAGAUGGGAGAUUCCUAAGUGGAGGAGAACUGUGCCUUACUGACCUAAAUAUCCACUCAGUAUUGUUAUGUGAGAAUAAAUAAACUUGUG
rnacentral:lncRNA from 10 species